GAGUUUGAUCAUGGCUCAGAACGAACGCUGGCGGCAUGCCUAACACAUGCAAGUCGAACGCGUGUAGCAAUACACGAGUGGCGCACGGGUGAGUAACACGUGGGAACCUGCCCUGGAGUGGGGGAUAACCCGGCGAAAGCCGGGCUAAUACCGCAUACGACCUGAGGGUGAAAGAUUUAUCGCUCUAGGAGGGGCCCGCGUCGGAUUAGCUAGUUGGUGGGGUAAUGGCCUACCAAGGCGAUGAUCCGUAGCUGGUCUGAGAGGAUGAUCAGCCACACUGGGACUGAGACACGGCCCAGACUCCUACGGGAGGCAGCAGUGGGGAAUAUUGGACAAUGGGGGCAACCCUGAUCCAGCAAUGCCGCGUGAGUGAUGAAGGCCUUAGGGUUGUAAAGCUCUUUCGGCGGGGACGAUGAUGACGGUACCCGCAGAAGAAGCCCCGGCUAACUUCGUGCCAGCAGCCGCGGUAAGCCCAAUCGCC
rnacentral:rRNA from 1 species